rnacentral:rRNA from 1 species
UAGGGAAUUUUGCGCAAUGGAGGAAACUCUGACGCAGUGACGCCGCGUAUAGGAAGAAGGUUUUCGGAUUGUAAACUAUUUUAGUCAGGGAAGAAAAAUGACAGUACCUGAAGAAUAAGCUCCGGCUAACUACGUGCCAGCAGCCGCGGUAAUACGUAGGGAGCAAGCGUUAUCCGGAUUUAUUGGGUUUAAAGGGUGCGUAGGUGGAUUGUUAAGUCAGUGGUGAAAGUUUUCAGCUCAACUGAAAAAUUGCCGUUGAAACUGUCGAUCUUGAGUGCAAAUGAGGUAGGCGGAAUGUGUUGUGUAGCGGUGAAAUGCUUAGAUAUAACACAGAACUCCGAUUGCGAAGGCAGCUUACUGGGAUGCAACUGACACUGAUGCACGAAAGCGAGGGUAUCAAACA